AAUCGUAACCCUAAGAAGAAAAUAAAAAUUAAAGGACAAAUUCAGUUCGGGAUCUUAGGCCCUAAUAGCAACGAAUUCAUCAUGUCCAUGGAUCUGAGUCCAAAUCGACAAGCAAUGCUGAAAGAAGGGAAAACACUUUUCAGAAAGCGGUAAUGCGUUUUCGACCAUCUCAGCAUUGCUUAAUCGUCGACCGCGUUCAAACAUAGAGUGACACUCAAACAGAUCGCAUCAACGCAUUCUCCACCUCUUAGCCCUGCAUCCACCAAUCAUCAUCGCGAUUCACUGAUGCUUCACGGUUUCACAUUGUUCAUCAAUCUGCCAUGAUUCACGCCGUUCAUCAAUCCGCCAUGAUUCACGUCAUUCAUCAAUCCUCCAUUUAACGAUUCAAUUUUCACGAAGUGAACAACAACAACUAUCGUAAUCUAUGGCGCCGAAUCGCAACUACAUCACCGAAUCGAUCUUGGGCGCAAAAGCAGGAAUACAGAGAGCUUACUGGUUUAGACACAGCUUGCGAGAAUAAGAUCGUUAAGCAGUGAAGAUUAGAGAAUCGACAUCGGUCACAUGGAGAGUUUGCAGGGAUUGGAAUUGAAUAAGGGUCUUUUGAAGUUGGUUAGAGUGGAGCUCAUUGAAGGUUUUCUGAGAGGCUUGUUGACAGUUGUCGGUUUUGGUUAGGGAGCUCUGAGCUCCUCUACUAGUUCUGUUAUAUCAGUGCCAUUAUAGGUUGGAAAACCAUUGAGGGGUUUGUUCGGUCUCUGUUAGAAGGGUUUCUUGUUGCAAGUUCUGAAUGGAGGACCAUUGCAACUUCUGCAAGUUGUUUCUUUUGGGAGAUGGAGGCUCAAUUUUUUCCUAUUGGGUGAAGUUUUUGUAACUUAUGUUGCUUCUACAUGGUUUUUUUGUUCAAUAUUGCAUUGCUAUGCCUUGAAGUAUUUAUAUUAUGUGGUGGCAUGCUUGGAGUAUGGGGACUGAUUUUGGAAUCUUGGACGUCAAGUUAUAAUCUUUGUAAAUUGAGCUAGUGAUUUGUGGGAUAUUGAAAUGGAAUAUGUGAAUUGAAUGUAUGAAAUGUUGAUGUAUGUAUUGGAAUCUUGUUUUGUUUAUGUAUAGAAAAUGUAUUGGUUUAGAAAUGAACAUGAACAUGAAUUGGAAAAUGACUUUGGUUAGAUGAUUGACUUCGGUCAUCUGGUUGACCAAAAAGUCAACAGUUGACUGAAAGUCAACUUAGAUAAAAAAUGUGUAUUUUU